GACGAACGCUGGCGGCGUGCUUAACACAUGCAAGUCGAACGGAAAGGCCCUGCUUUUGUGGGGUGCUCGAGUGGCGAACGGGUGAGUAACACGUGAGUAACCUGCCCUUGACUUUGGGAUAACUUCAGGAAACUGGGGCUAAUACCGGAUAGGAGCUCCUGCUGCAUGGUGGGGGUUGGAAAGUUUCGGCGGUUGGGGAUGGACUCGCGGCUUAUCAGCUUGUUGGUGGGGUAGGGGCUUACCAAGGCUUUGACGGGUAGCCGGCCUGAGAGGGUGACCGGCCACAUUGGGACUGAGAUACGGCCCAGACUCCUACGGGAGGCAGCAGUGGGGAAUAUUGCACAAUGGGCGGAAGCCUGAUGCAGCAACGCCGCGUGCGGGAUGACGGCCGUCGGGUUGUAAACCGCUUUCGCCUGUGACGAAGCGUGAGUGACGGUAAUGGGUAAAGAAGCACCGGCUAACUACGUG
rnacentral:rRNA from 1 species